AGUGAACGCUGGCGGUAGGCCUAACACAUGCAGGUCGAACGGCAGCACAGUAAGAGCUUGCUCUUACGGGUGGCGAGUGGCGGACGGGUGAGGAAUACAUCGGAAUCUACUUUUUCGUGGGGGAUAACGUAGGGAAACUUACGCUAAUACCGCAUACGACCUACGGGUGAAAGCAGGGGAUCUUCGGACCUUGCGCGAUUGAAUGAGCCGAUGUCGGAUUAGCUAGUUGGCGGGGUAAAGGCCCACCAAGGCGACGAUCCGUAGCUGGUCUGAGAGGAUGAUCAGCCACACUGGAACUGAGACACGGUCCAGACUCCUACGGGAGGCAGCAGUGGGGAAUAUUGGACAAUGGGCGCAAGCCUGAUCCAGCCAUACCGCGUGGGUGAAGAAGGCCUUCGGGUUGUAAAGCCCUCUUGUUGGGAAAGAAAAGCAGCAGGUUAAUACCCCGCUGUUCUGACGGUACCCAAAGAAUAAGCACCGGCUAACUUCGUG
rnacentral:rRNA from 1 species